rnacentral:lncRNA from 1 species
UUGGUUUUAAGCCAACACAUAUUUUUAAUGAAAUUAUUAUAUUUGAACUUAUACGCCAAAAUAGCUUGAAUGUUAUUUAAAACUGUUAAUGAUUUCAUUUAAACUUAGAGAAACAACUAUCCUAUGAUUUAUAACUAUAACUUUAUAAAUUUAUAAAUCUUCUGCCAAAUUGUUUUGCUAUAAGUUAACCAAGUUUGUGUAGUG